rnacentral:rRNA from 1 species
ACCGCCCGUCACACCACGAAAGCCCGACUGCAACAGAAAUCGGUGAUCUAACCGCAAGGAGGAAGCCGCUGAAGUUGUGUGUGAUUGGGGUG